AUCUCCACUAUAUGAGGGAGAAAUACUUGAGAAUUCAGUGUUGCCACAUUUAGACCACAUUGCGAAAGAUCGGGAUAUUUUUGUGCAGAUCCGAGCUGUCCAGUUUCUUGUCGAUGUUAUUGAAUCCUCUGAUUCACCGAAAGUUUGCGAUGUUUUGCAUAUAAUCGAGAAGAUUGCCACUGUCCAGUAGAUC